rnacentral:rRNA from 1 species
GAUGAACGCUGGCGGCGUGCCUAAUACAAGCAAGUCGAGCGAACAGAUGAGGAGCUUGCUCCUCUGACGUUAGCGGCGGACGGGUGAGUAACACGUGGAUAACCUCCCUAUAAGACUGGGAUAACUUCGGGAAACCGGAGCUAAUACGGGAUAUUAUAUUGAACCACAUGGUUCAAUAGUGAAAGACGGUUUUGCUGUCACUUAUAGAUGGAUCCGCGCCGCAUUAGCUAGUUGGUAAGGUAACGGCUUACCAAGGCAACGAUGCGUAGCCGACCUGAGAGGGUGAUCGGCCACACUGGAACUGAGACACGGUCCAGACUCCUACGGGAGGCAGCAGUAGAGAAUCUUCCGCAAUGGGCGAAAGCCUGACGGAGCAACGCCGCGUGAGUGAUGAAGGUCUUCGGAUCGUAAAACUCUGUUAUUAGGGAAGAACAAAUGUGUAAGUAACUAUGCACGUCUUGACGGUACCUAAUCAGAAAGCCACGGCUAACUACGUG